rnacentral:rRNA from 1 species
CAAACGCCGCGUGGAGGAUGAAAUCCCUUGGGAUGUAAACUCCUUUCGAUAGGGAAGAUAAUGACGGUACCUAUACGAAGAAGCCCCGGCUAACUUCCGUGC